rnacentral:rRNA from 1 species
GACGAACGCUGGCGGCGUGCUUAACACAUGCAAGUCGAACGGAAAGGCCCUGCUUUUGUGGGGUGCUCGAGUGGCGAACGGGUGAGUAACACGUGAGUAACCUGCCCCUGACUUUGGGAUAACUUCAGGAAACUGGGGCUAAUACCGGAUAGGAGCUCCUGCUGCAUGGUGGGGGUUGGAAAGUUUCGGCGGUUGGGGAUGGACUCGCGGCUUAUCAGCUUGUUGGUGGGGUAGUGGCUUACCAAGGCUUUGACGGGUAGCCGGCCUGAGAGGGUGACCGGCCACAUUGGGACUGAGAUACGGCCCAGACUCCUACGGGAGGCAGCAGUGGGGAAUAUUGCACAAUGGGCGGAAGCCUGACGCAGCAACGCCGCGUGCGGGAUGACGGCCUUCGGGUUGUAAACCACUUUCGCCUGUGACGAAGCGUGAGUGACGGUAAUGGGUAAAGAAGCACCGGCUAACUACGUG